UCUCAAAUUUACUUAUUACCGUAGGCAUCUCAUAAAUUUUCAAAUAUUAGGCAUUAGAGGAACGGUCCUCUUCCAAUUUCAAAUAUUGAUACUAUAUAUACACCAUGUACACUGGAGGAACGUUCCUCUUCAAACUAUUGACACUGAAUUUACUAGUCUAAACACAACAUAUUUGAGGAACGUUCCUCAUCCAAUUUCAAAUAUUGAUACUAUAUACACUGGAGGAACGUUCCUCUUUCAACUUGACACUGUAUUUACAAGUUUUAACACACAAUAUCACAAACGUUCAUCAGUCAAUUUCAAUUGAUAAUACAUACUACAUGUAUAUAAACAGUACAUUUGAGGAACAUUCCUCUACCAAUUCCUAUCAAAACACUACUACCAUGAAUCUUAAUACAAUGAAUGUUCUUCUCCCCAUUUCAAAAUUUGACACUGGACUGGACAAACAUUCCUCUUCCAACUGUUGACAAUGGAUUCAUGUCGAAUACUCCUCUUCUGAUUUCAAAUGUUAUUAUAUAACUUUAUACAUGAAUCAGAGUAUAAUUGGAUUUGAAGAAAGCUGUACACCCAGGUACUCCCUAACGUAAAAGAGCAGAUAAUCCUGUUGAUUUCAUAAAGUCAAAUUUCAAGGUUGAGAAUAUUCUGACACAGAAAAAUAAUGUCUGCUUAAAAUGUUGGGAACCCUUUGCUUUACAGACAUCAAACUUAGUAUACUGGUACUCCCAAAGGAAUAAAGACCCCUACUGAUUUUGGGUUACAAGGUGAAAGCACAAGGCUCAAACUGAUCUAGAAAUAGAAAAGUAUUGUUUACUCAAUAUUUAAGUAACUUGAGAUUCUACUGUUUGAAAAAUAAUUUAAUGCACUAGAUCUGUAGUCCUCCUAAGAAAUAUAUGACAACUUUUAAUUUGGGGGUCAUAACUUGAUCACAAGAUCAAGUACGUGUCAUUCUUGACAAUUAAUAUUUUAGGAACUCAUGUUUCACUCAAUUUUGUGAAAAGCCUCUUAUUAUUACAGACAUUAAACUCGUUGGUACCACUCCUUUAGGAGUAUACAUGAUCACAUUUUAUUUUGAGGUCACUUCUCUGGAUAUCAUAUAGGAAUGUAUAUCUCAUGCUGAAUAAAGAGUAAAUGUUUAUUUUUAUUUUAAAUGAGAAAAAAGGGCAACUGUUUGAAUCGUGCAAGAGACAUAAAUCUACAACAAAGAAUUGAUCAAAAAAGUCAUACCAUUCCCCUGGUCCCCUGCAUUUACUAUUAUGAUAUAAAACUGUUGUAUAAAGCAAUGCUUUCUUACACUAAAAUAAACAAUUUUCUUUAACAAUUGAAAUUUUAUGAUAUUUAUUAAAUGAAAAAAUCUUUCAGGAAAAUAAUCUUACCCUUAGCUUUUUUAGUAUAGUUCAUCCAAGAUUAAUUUAUGAAAAGUCAGUGCAUUGACCAGUAAAUUCUCUAUAAGUUGAACAUCCAUUGACAUUUGAAAAUCAUGCAUGUGUCUCUACUUACUUCAUCACGCAGUUUUUUGACCAAAACUAAUUAUAUAACUUUAUCACAGUAUAACACAGUAUAACACACAGAUAUAUCAAUGUCUAAUUUCUCCAAUUUCGAAUUCCCCUUCAAACGACAGUUGCAUUUAAAUGAUAGCUGUUCACAUGUGCAACUGCGAUCCUUCCAUACAUAUUUGAAUGGAAACAUGUGGUGCCACUAACUGAAGAAAUGUCAAUCAAAACACUGCACACUGAUAAUCUUGGGUGUGUUAUCAGUCUUGGACACAUCCAUCUCUCAACCCUACCAAAAUGUUCACGAUUUCAAAUCAGAAGAUGAUUAUCACAUCGAAAGAUUGUUGAAUAAAACAGGAUGUUGCAGUUCUUCACAGUUAAGGAUUUAUUAAGACAAAAUGAUAUGCCCUGGAUUUCAAUGUAAAAGAAAACGAAUACCCUCAUGACACCACUUGCAGUAACAUUUCAGAGAAAUGAUUAAAGUGUCGUAAACAAAUCAAAAGAUGACACCCAAGAAACUUGUUGAGGCUGUUUUACUUUGACUGAUGAAAAAAUGCUAUGAACCUUUGGAGACCAAGGAAUUGGAAUCGUCUCUAUUAUGAGGGAAAGAUGUAACCGAG